rnacentral:rRNA from 1 species
GUUGUUGCAGUUAAAAAGCUCGUAGUUGAACUUCGGGGUUUACCCAUUGGUCAGGCUUAAUUGUCUGCACUGGUGAGAUGAAUCUCUACCUUCUGAGGAACUUUCAUGCCAUUUAUUUGGUGUGAUUGGAAAUCAGGACUGUUACUUUGAAAAAAUUAGAGUGUUUAAAGCAGGCUAACGUCUGAAUACAUUAGCAUGGAAUAAUGAAAUAGGACGGACUGAUUCUAUUUCGUUGGUUUCUAGGAUCACCGUAAUGAUUAAUAGGGAUAGUUGGGGGCAUUAGUAUUCAAUUGUCAGAGGUGAAAUUCUUGGAUUUAUUGAAGACUAACUACUGCGAAAGCAUUUGCCAAGGAUGUUUUCAUUAAUCAAGAACGAAAGUUAGGGGAUCGAAGACGAUCAGAUACCGUCGUAGUCUUAACCAUAAACUAUGCCGACUAGGGAUCGGACGAAGUUAAUUUUAUAAUGACGCGUUCGGCGCCUUACGGGAAAC